rnacentral:tRNA from 1 species
GUCCAAGUAUUCAAUUAAUGAUUUUAAAUUGCAAAUUUGAAGGUAAGAAAAAUCUUCUUGGGCU